GCGACCCCCGGACAGGCCCCGGGCCGGGGCGCGCGCGCCGCCCGCGGUCAACCGGCCAGUCCCUCCGUCCCGCAGAGCUUCCUCACGCGGCCGCGGACACAGUCCGGCGUCCACGGCCGCCCCCGUCACGCACGGCAGCCUCGCGCCUGCCCGGCCGUCAGUUGCACACGCACAGGCGGCUGCUCAGCCCACUGUCCCGCACAGGCCUGGCCGCAGCAGUUUCCUCAAGCCCGCUCCUCGAGCGCCGCCCGCACAGCGACCGCGAGGAGAGUGCAACCUGUCUGACAGAUGUUGAGCCAGGCAGAGCAGGACAAUGUUCUGCAGUUCAGAGCUGAGAGGCCCAGCAGAGCACCCAGCUGAUGCUAGAGAGAUCCAGGCUUCCAGGAAUGUGCUUGCUGCUACCACCCAGGAUGUCCUUCACAACUAGUCUUGACCAGCAUCUAGUUGCUCUGCACCUGCCCUCAGAAGAAAAAAGUUUCUUGCUGGGAAAGGGACCCUAGCCAGCUUGGAUGCUAGAGCCCUGGAAAGUGGUCACAAACCACUCCUCGUCUCAGGCAACACAAGAAGACUGCAUUCCAUCUGCGAGAGAGCUUCUGGGAUCCAGUGUUCUAGUUGGCUUAGCACCCUUAAUUCCUGCCAUCCUGACUGAAAGCUGAGCCACAUAAGCAAACCCAAAGAAGUUCCCCACUGCUUCUGGCCAGCACACAUGAAGUGUGUUCCAGGACCUGUCACUCAAAUACACUUGCUCAAUCUUGCUCAAUAAACCCACCCUAGGCUCCAAAUAUACUUCUCGCACCCCACCUGUUCUUGUAGGUUUUCUGUACCCGCCCUCACUUCCUGGGCCUGCCUUUAUCUAAAGAUGUGGACUUUGGCUUACUCCCUCUUUGACCCAAACCCACGUCAGCACAACAGAUGCAGCCCCUUCAAGGCCUGGUCCCAGCUCCUGGGGAGGGAGGCACCCUUGCUGACAGGAGCAGACAGACCACAUCCCUCACCAAGUCCCAGCCCCAAAGCCUCACUCUGGCCUGGGGCCCUGGGUUACGAAGAGGCAGACGCGAAGUUUCCGUUAAGUUGUAGGAAUUUAUUUUAAAUAACCUACAGUUGAUUAAAAGGGAAUUCAUGAUAAAAAUAGAAGAUACUUGAGGAAAGAUGUGGGAAAUGGACUCUGCACACACGCUAAACUAACAAUGCCUCUAAAACUAAUGAUUAUAGCAAAAAAUG